AAAAAAAAAAAGGCAUUAAGAUAAUUCAUGCUUUCGAAUUGGUUAUAAGAAUAAGCUUACACAGAACAUACUAUAUCGCAUGAUAAAGUAAAUAUAUCCAUUGGCUUAUGGUUUGAGAAGCUAGCAUGAGCACCAGAUCCCUAGGAAGACUGGCAGGCACCCCACCAUCAGCCAAAGCUUCUAUUGCUAAAAAUAAGUAUACUGAUCUACUACCAAUCAACAUUCCAGGAGAAGAUAAACUAGUUAGGUAGUGUUUGAUUUCCCUUUUUUUCCAUGAAAAAUGGAAAAUUUUUCCAACUUUGGCCAAUUUGAAGUGUUUGAUACCAAACAAUUUCCAUGGAAAUCAUUUUCCACAUUUUCUCCCACGCGAUGCCUUUUCCUUCUUUUUGAGGAAUUGAAAUUCUUAUAGGUUUGAUGAGAAUUGGAAUUCCAUGCAAAUUUUUUUUUCCUUUUUUUUUUUUUUAGCAGUGGAAAAAAAUUCUAAGAAUUAUUGUAAAAAAAUAUUUUUCUUUAAUUGACAAUUUUCAUGUAAAACAAAGCCAAACAAACAUCCAAAGAUAGAUGAUUUUCUUGAAAAUAUAUAUAUAUAUUUUAUUUAUUUAUUUAUUUAUUUUUGGGUUUUGGCAAUGGAAACAAAUUUCAUUCCCAAUAGCAGUAAAUUUUAUCCCUUUAGUUGACAAUUUUCAUGUAAAACAAAGCCAAACGAAUAUCAAAAAAUACUUUUAUUUUAACAUUUUCCACCUAGAAAAUUAUACCAAUCAAACACUAUCAAUUGACAAUUCCCAGAAAAUAAUUUCCCAUCAUUUCAAUUCUCUGAAAUUCAUUUUCUUUCCACCCAAAUUUCACCUUUGUAAUCAAACAGACCAUUAGAAUAUGCCAAAUUAGCCUCAUAUUUUCAGCUCUAGAAAAUAUAUGGCUAUCGCUUGCAAGCUUUGCGUUAAGAAUUAACCAUACAACAUGAAAACAUGAAAAAAGUAAACAAUACCUCAGGCCAGUGAUUGCAUCAAACAGUUUCUCAUCAGCUGUCCGGACCUUACCAAUAGCUCCAAAUAACUUGGAAAUUAAUUCUCCAUCAUCUUUAGUAGCUGCAUCCCUCAUGCUUAUAACUAUGUACAUGUUAAUUAGAUUGGUAAAACUGCAUUAUCAUUCUAAAUCGCAAAACCAACACAUGCAUAUCUUUGUGUAGUAACAACAAACUCAAAAUUGGAUUAACACUGUGAAAGAUAAUGGGGAGGAAAAUCUUGAAGUAGUGUGACAGAUAAUAGAGAUUUGA
rnacentral:lncRNA from 1 species